AAAUGGGAUCGAUUUAGCCAUGCUAGUCGCACGAGUUCAGACUCGUGGCGAAUAGCUCAGUAACACGUGGCCAAACUACCCUUCGGAACACAAUACCCUCGGGAAACUGAGGCUAAUAGUGUAUACCAUACCACCACUGGAAUGAGUGGUAUGCCAAACGCUCCGGCGCCGAAGGAUGUGGCUGCGGCCGAUUAGGUAGACGGUGGGGUAACGGCCCACCGUGCCAAUAAUCGGUACGGGUCAUGAGAGUGAGAACCCGGAGACGGAAUCUGAGACAAGAUUCCGGGCCCUACGGGGCGCAGCAGGCGCGAAACCUUUACACUGCACGACAGUGCGAUAGGGGGAUCCCAAGUGCACAGGCAUAGCGCCUGUGCUUUUCGGCACCCUAAGGCGGUGCCAGAAUAAGGGCUGGGCAAGACCGGUGCCAGCCGCCGCGGUAAUACCGGCAGCCCAAGUGAUGGCCGAUCUUAUUGGGCCUAAAGCGUCCGUAGCUGGCCGCGCAAGUCCAUCGGGAAAUCCACCUGCUCAACAGGUGGGCGCCCGGUAGAAACUGCGUGGCUUGGGACCGGAAGGCGCGACGGGUACGUCCGGGGUAGGAGUGAAAUCCCGUAAUCCUGGACGGACCGCCGAUGGCGAAAGCACGUCGCGAGAACGGAUCCGACAGUGAGGGACGAAAGCCAGGGUCUCGAACCGGAUUAGAU
rnacentral:rRNA from 1 species